AGUCUGCAACCCGGCUACAUGAAGCUGGAAUCGCUAGUAAUCGCGGAUCAGAAUGCCGCGGUGAAUACGUUCCCGGGUCUUGUACACACCGCCCAUCACACCAUGGGAGUCGGAAAUGCCCGAAGUCUGUGACCCAACCGCGAGGAGGGAGCAGCCGAAGGCAGGUCGGAUGACUGGGGUGAAGUCGUAACAAGGUAAC
rnacentral:rRNA from 1 species